rnacentral:rRNA from 1 species
UCCACGCUGUAAACGAUGUCGAUUUGGAGGUUGUGGUCUUGAACCGUGGCUUCCGGAGCUAACGCGUUAAAUCGACCGCCUGGGGAGUACGGCCGCAAGGUUAAAACUCAAAUGAAUUGACGGGGGCCCGCACAAGCGGUGGAGCAUGUGGUUUAAUUCGAUGCAACGCGAAGAACCUUACCUACUCUUGACAUCCAGAGAAGCCUGCAGAGAUGCGGGU